AUAAAAACUUUGAUAGGAAGAGUAAUUAUAAGGAAGUAGUUUUAGCGAGUGAGGAAUGGUGUAAGCCUCAUACGAUACCUAUAGUGAAGAACAUCCUUGAGUUUCCAACCGAAAUCUUUUAGAGAGUAGACUUGGACGGAGCCUAACCGUUAUAGAUAGGACAGUAUCGAUAAGUUUAUCUGUACUGAUUUAAGGUGAGCUUUUUAUAAGCUAACAUAGGUGGUACCGCGGAAAGUAUAAUAUGCCUUUCGUCCUAUUU
rnacentral:ncRNA from 1 species